rnacentral:lncRNA from 1 species
UCUGUUAAAAAUAAAGAUGAAUUAGACUCACCUUAGACAGAUUGACUCAAAAUCUCUGGAGGGAACCCAGGAACCUUCAUUCUAACAAGAACCCCCAGGUGGUUCUUAGCACUUCAAAGUUGGGGAGCCUCUGCUUCCAUCGGAAAGCAUCAAGCAACAAUGGCCAUAAUAGAAAUGCUACUAUCAAUGGGACAGAAAAGAUACCUGGGAAAGAUUGCUCCUGUUGGCUGUGACAGCUUCUCUGACUUUGUUUGUGAUGACUUCGAGAGUCUUAAGGAGAAAUCAUCGGCUAUUUUGUAGAAUGGCCCUCAAGUGUGGUUUUGGCAGGUGAUUUUCUCAUGAUUGGACUGGGGUUGUGGGUUUUUGGAAGGAAGAAUACAGACAUAGUCAUUUCCAUAACAUCCAUUCACUUCAAAGCAAUCCUACGUUUGGGCAGUGCUCAGCAAGGAUGGUUAUUGCUGCUGCACAUGGCAUCAGCUGGAGAAGCUUGAUGCCAGGGUUGGAGAAUCUGCUUUAAAGAUAGCUCUUUUACACAACUGGUGUCAUUCAGGAGCUCUCUUCAUGCCCACAAUAUUCCCCCUUCUAAUUGAAUUCUCAAAGUAGAAUCAGAUCAAUACAGAACCCUGAAGGUAUCGUGAUUGAGAAGGCUCUCAGCUGCACCUGCUACUGGAAUUAUACCUGUGAUCAGAAGCUCCUGUUUUUAUUUCGACAAAGAAAUGGAAUUCAUAAAAUAGAGUAACAGACUGCCCCAUAAAGGAGAGUAUGGUGGUGAACUCUCAAGAACUAUUGCAAUUAUUUCCUAGAAGGAAGGAGAUACAGAAAUAUAAGAAACGAAUGCAAAGAAGGCAAGGAGAGCAAAAAAGAACAGGAGGAAGGAAGAGUGAAAGGAUGAAGAAGAGAGAAGAAUAUAGUGUUCAUUGAGUAUCUGCUCAAAUUAAGGAUAAAGCCACAUGUUUUCGUAAAUUUUCUCUAAUAUCCAUAGCAAUCUAGUAUCCAUAGCCAAACAAAUAAGUGACUUCCACUUAACAAAGGAACUGAAGCCCAAAAAAGUUAAUAUGGACGAGUCACACAGCAACUGGGAUUGAAGCUGAAUAAAUCUAGCUCCAAGGCAUUCUCUUGUAGGCUGCUCUUCUCAUGUCUGCUAGGAUUACAUGGGUCAAGCACAACCCUGUCAGGUUUCAGUGAUCAGAAGGACAGAACCUUGCUGUUAGACAGAAACUAGGGUCUCUAUACUGGGCCAACUCCUUGUUCUCAAACUCAGGAGCUGGAAUUGCCAGACCUUGGAACCAGCUGACUGGAGACUGUGUCCCCAUUAAAGGAAAUGUCCAGGAUUUCAUUUCAUGUUAUGUCCCCCCCCACCGCCCCACCUCUUCCUCCUUAGUGCUUUCUUUCUCUCUGAUAUCAGCUCUGCUACAGUUUGAGGCAAGGGUUGGGACUAGAAUUGUAGUUUUUUGAAUCUCAGUGUGGUUGCUUUUGGUACUUGUUGAGGCCUCCAUGUAGUCAAAUUCAUUAUCGUAUAUAAAGUUACAAUUAAGAGUUGGAAAUAAUAUAUGAAGAUCAGAUGGAGGAUGUGAGGCUAC